ensembl:lncRNA
GGAGUAUUUUGUACAACAGUUUAGGUGAAUAUCUGUUAAGGAGACCUGUUAUCAGAUGCAUUUGUUCUUUCCUGAAUUUUUCUCAGCAGAAGAAUCAAUUUUUUGUUUGUUUGUUUGUUUUGUACCAAAAAUACAAAAAUACGUGAAGUAGUAUGAUGCUGGCAACAUUUCUUCUUGAAACGUUAUUCUGUAGAUACUUCCUAUGUUUGGCACUAAGAUGGUUGUUCUAUAGACCACACAAGAAAAAUACAAAUGAGACUCUGCCCUGUGAAUUUUCUCUAUAGUUCUGCAGGUAGCAGAAUGCAGCACCUGUUGCCUGGAUCUAAGAUGUGAGGUGACAACACUGCACUUACCAAGUCCAUGCCACACUUCAACUGAAGCAGAUGGAAAACUAAGCACUGUGAGUGUCAGGUCUGCUCAUUGAGGUGGUGUGGGGCAGCAGGGCAUCACACGCAUACUUUGCUAGAUCGAUAGUUUCUACAUGUUUAAGUCAAUAGGACUGAGGACUUGAACCUCAGGAUUCUCUUAAGAAAACGGGAAUGUUAGUAUACCUCCUGAGUGUCCUAACUGAUGUUAGCCUCUGAUAUAUUACUCACAUGAAAGUAAGGAUCUCCCACAGGUGACAGACACAGAUGACCUGCUCAAGUAAAAUCUUACCUUUAUGUCUAAUAUUGAAGAUCAGCCAAGAUAAAAGCAGGAAGAACAGAAACUUUAUGAACUUGGUGGGCCACUUUUCUUGAUGGCAAGACUUUUGAGAUCCCAAGAUGGAAAAUGAAAGUUUUAUCCACGCUAUUAUGUCGUGUUACAUGCACAUAUAUCGACUGAUACUUAUACUGAUGAAAUAUAGUAUAUUGCACAGAUGACCAUCUCUCUCUAAUCUGCCCCAGUGAGGCCACAUCUGGAGUACUGUGUCCAGUUCUGGGUUCCUCAGUUCAAAAAUGACAGGGAUCUUCUAGACAGUCCAGAAGAGGGCCACAAAGAUGAUUAGAGGCCUAGAGCAUCUCCCGCACAAGGAAACACUGAGAGGCCUAGUACUCAUCAGUCUGGAGAAGGCAGAAAGGGGA